GACGAACGCUGGCGGCGUGCCUAAUACAUGCAAGUCGAACGAACCGCGACUAGGUGCUUGCACUUGGUCAAGGUGAGUGGCGAACGGGUGAGUAACACGUGGGUAACCUACCUCAUAGUGGGGGAUAACAGUCGGAAACGACUGCUAAUACCGCAUAGGACAUAGGAUCACAUGAUCCAGUGAGGAAAGGUGGCGCAAGCUAUCGCUAAGAGAUGGACCCGCGGUGCAUUAGCUAGUUGGUAGGGUAAAGGCCUACCAAGGCGAUGAUGCAUAGCCGACCUGAGAGGGUGAUCGGCCACAUUGGGACUGAGACACGGCCCAAACUCCUACGGGAGGCAGCAGUAGGGAAUCUUCCGCUAUGGACGCAAGUCUGACGGAGCAACGCCGCGUGAGUGAAGAAGGUCUUCGGAUCGUAAAGCUCUGUUGUUAGAGAAGGACAGCGCAUAGAGUAACUGUUAUGCGUGUGACGGUAUCUAACCAGAAAGCCACGGCUAACUACGUG
rnacentral:rRNA from 1 species